GACGAACGCUGGCGGCGUGCCUAAUACAUGCAAGUCGAGCGGACCCCCGGAAGCUUGCUUCCGAUGGUCAGCGGCGGACGGGUGAGUAACACGUGGGUAACCUGCCUGACAGAUCGGGAUAACGCUUGGAAACGAGUGCUAAUACCGGAUAGGCUUCUCGGUCGCAUGGCUGAGAAGGGAAAGAGGCUUUCGCCUCGCUGUCAGAUGGACCCGCGGCGCAUUAGCUAGUUGGUGAGGUAACGGCUCACCAAGGCGACGAUGCGUAGCCGACCUGAGAGGGUGACCGGCCACACUGGGACUGAGACACGGCCCAGACUCCUACGGGAGGCAGCAGUAGGGAAUCUUCCACAAUGGGCGCAAGCCUGAUGGAGCAACGCCGCGUGAAUGAUGAAGGCCUUCGGGUUGUAAAAUUCUGUCUUCUGUGAAGAACAAGUGUGAGAAGAGAAUGCUCACACCCUGACGGUAACAGAGGAGGAAGCCCCGGCUAACUACGUGCCAGCAGCCGCUGUAACAC
rnacentral:rRNA from 1 species